AGGAGAAGGAAAGGCUAAAAAUAAAUAAAGCUCUAAUCAUUGGCCGUAAAAUGUACAUAUACAUACCAUCAGUAUUUUUUUCCUACAAUUAGUCAGUUAUUCUGAAGGUGGAAUCAAUUUUAAAAAAAGCUUUAAGCUGUUCUGCAAAGUAUACCUCUGCUGCAGUCCAGAAAUUCUUCUAUUCAGGGCACACGCAGGCGCAGUUAGUUUCUGAGGUGCCCUGUACAUGCGCACAACGUCGAAAGCUUUCCCCAGCAUAUAGACGUCACGUGACCUGAAAGGAAUUGCUGACCUCGCUGCCCCUGCCUGUUCUAGCUCAAGCGCCAGUAGGAUUACUGCUGUCCCGUUGCCAUGGAGACGCCCCGAAGUUAAGAUAAGUUUGGAAGCUACUGCGCUCCUCAGGAGCAGUACACAGAGAUAUCAGCUGCAUUCAGGUCUGUCAGACAGUCGUCUGUACGAACACAGCAUUCAAUUUACAAACUGACGUAGUGGGGUCAAAUUCUGGCGAGAGCACAGUAGCAUUACAGUGGAGGAAGGGAAGUGACGUGCACAGAGGAAUAUGGCGGCGGCAAACUUUUAAAUAGUGGGGAUUUUUCAACUAAUACUGUGUGAGAAUGAGAUCCCUUGCUGGAUACAUGUACAGUAUAGUGAAGUGUCCUGUGUGUUUUAUAGCGAAGAGCAGGCCUGGAGACUGGAGCGAUUUCAUGUCUGGUCCUUGCAAGAAUUCUUAUCGUCACAUCAUUAAUCAAUAUCUGGGAAGAACCCAAACUACCUGAAGAAAAAACAUCCAGUAACGGAGAGAACACAGAAAUUACUUGC